rnacentral:tRNA from 1 species
GGUUCGGUGGCGCAACGGUAGCGCCCUGACUCCAGAUCAGAAGGUUGCGUGUUCAAAUCACGCCCGGGGUCA